rnacentral:rRNA from 1 species
CCUGGCGGCCUUAGCGCGGUGGUCCCACCUGACCCCAUGCCGAACUCAGAAGUGAAACGCCGUAGCGCCGAUGGUAGUGUGGGGUCUCUAGCG